ensembl:lncRNA
GACCAAACUUGCACCCGUGAGCCAUAGAAAGAGCAGGGCAAACAGAAGAACGCCCAGUUGCAACUCCUGAGUGUGAGCGAACUUUUCAGACUAUUAACCCUAACCAACCCAGACGGGGGUAGGACCGACCUGUGUUCCUGUCUGACCUGUGUUCCUGUCUCGAACAUUCCCCGCUCUGCUGUGGGUAACCACGUGGGUUCCUACUGGUCCAAGAGAGGUAGCAAUGGACAGCUGCUGAAAGCUGCUCUCUCCAGCUGCUGGAGGCCAGAGAGGACAGUUAGCGGGCACUAAAUCAGACUCAUGUGUUGUUUUGCUGAAGCAAGAGAGGACAUGUGACUUUGGAGAGAGUAUAAGUGGGACCCAACAGACAGUGACAGUACACUUGCCUAGCUAGUCAUGCAAACGCUUCAUUGGUCUGUGAUCUUCACGGACCUUCACUUCAUUGAGAGAGGCACGUCAGAGAACUUCUGUCUUUCCGGCUGGUUCUGGUUGCUCCCGCUGAUUUGUGCCAGAUUCAUCGGAGACCUAGCUGUUUCUACUGGAUUGUUCUACAGCUGCCGAUUCGUAUUUGGUGACACUCUUUGAACUGGGCUGUUGGUAUCCUGCCACUACUGAACUGGACUACUGGUAUCCUGACAACAGAUUGUAAUUGCCCCCCAAAGAAGUACUGGGGGGCCUGGCCUGUGAGGUUUCCAACAGGAACAAAUACUUUAGCAGGAACUGUGAUAGGGGCUAUUCACCUUUCACCUGGGUCCACAUUCCCCUGUCCUACCAUCUUUUUCUCCCCUACCUUUGAAUGGUGGACUAGAAAGGGGGGGGGGGGUGUCAAUGCACUUGAGAACCCUUAUUAAAGUAGGUUUUGAAAAAUCUAAGCCUAUG